GUUUACGCCAUUUUGUCCCAGACGAAAUACAAUAACAAUAAUGCAUAAACAAGCUUCAAGGCUAUACUACGACUCUUUUUCAGUAAACAAUAUACUGUGGUAACCCCAAGUAGAUAAGGAUGUUCAGACUGUAAGAUGCCAUCUUGAACUAAGUCAGGAAAAUUUCCAUGACGUAUGCACCCUUUAGUUAUGGCCUUGUAUGUUUGCCAAGUUAAGGGCGGUCCUAAAAAUGAAUAAAGUAAAAGAAGUGUUACUUUUUCAUAUAUGAACUACGGUUACCCUAAAAUGGAGACACCUAAGGUAUAAAUAGGUGUACUUUUAAAAUGUUAAGAAACAGAGGAGAGACUUGGAGACAGACGCUGCUCCAUCUUAAAAUGCCAGAGAGGCUGACAUGAUGACAUGUUCAGAAGGGUAUGUUAACC